rnacentral:rRNA from 1 species
UACGUAGGUGGCAAGCGUUGUCCGGAUUUAUUGGGUUUAAAGGGUGCGUAGGCGGUCUUAUAAGUCAGUGCUGAAAUAUCCCGGCUUAACCGGGAGGGUGGCAUUGAUACUGUAGGACUUGAGUAGAGUUGAGGUUGGCGGAAUUGACGGUGUAGCGGUGAAAUGCUUAGAUAUCGUCAAGAACACCGAUAGUGAAGACAGCUAACUAAGCUCAAACUGACGCUGAGGCACGAAAGCGUGGGGAGCGAACAGG